UUGUCUGCACCUGUUGAAAAAUGAUGGUCCUGCCUGAGUCAAACAUGGACAUAAAUGAUUUCACUGUUCAUCUUCCUCUUUAAAGUAUUUUGAUAUCAAUACAAUUUGCAGUGAUUUAUCAGCAUCACUAAUACUUACUUGACUUUCUUUGUCAAACAGCAGCGUUGAGGCAGAAUGGAGGAGCUUCCCCCAUCAGGUCUUGCAAGUCUGCAAGUUAGUCAAGUAAACAGUGACGUAACCUGCAGUGCACAUUUUCCUAAACUGUCGUGUCAGUAUGUUGAAGUGAAGCAAAUCAAAAGUUGUUGCUUGAUUCAACAAAACUUAGACUUUGGUUUUUGCAUUGGAAGUGAGUGAAAUGAUCUCAUCCGACUGGCGUUUUUUUUAUUAUUUUUUUUUUAUUUGUUUGAAGAAAAUAAACCUUCAGUCAUCACUGGACUCGGUGACUUGUUAACAUGAACAUGUUCUGUAGUCUGGUCCUUGGCAGUCUGAGCGGCAUUAAUGGGGCUUGGCCCUCUCGUGCGUUUGUGAACAUGAUGUUUUUAUGGAGGGAAACGUCUCCAGCGGCGGCCCUUCGUUUCUCCACAGGCGAGCAGACCGCAGACUUCCUGGAAAAGGCCCGGUGGCCGAUUCACAGAGCACAGCCAGUGAGCCGGGCACAGCGGCGGGACAUCAUCAGCAUCAGCACCAUCUGAUGACAUUUAAACUCAGGAUCCCAGCUGCAUCUUCAAGCUGUACAGGUCAAGAAUUUCUCCUCCAAAUGUGAAAGACUGAAAGCAGCCCUCCCCCUGCUGGACAGACAGCUCACACUGCUGUUUUCUGCUAAACUUAACAACCCAGUAAAAGCCCGAGAAGUAGUAGCGCAGGAGGAAAACACAAUGUGAUGAAGUUGCAACAACAACAUAAAAACAUCCUCAACUUUUCUUCACAACAAAGAAAACAAAGAAAGGGUUUAAUUUCUGAGCAGGGAGCUCCUGCAAGCUGGGAAGAAGACACUGUAAAAUGUGACCCCAAAUAUUCUGUGACAAGCAUGUGUGGGGUUUAAAUAUAUAAAAUCACUUAGACAUUAUCUACACUGAAGGACAUUUUCACCGAUUUUAACCAGUUGUUCCUCUGCAAAUCUCUUUCUUAUUUCAGAACUUUUUCGUCUGAGAAAGACACAUUUUUAUGACAAAUAACUGAAAUCCAGUAUUUGAAAAUCAUUAAACUAUAUUUGAAAAACCAAGAUCCGGAUUCUUAGCGUUUGUGUCUCACAUUAAAGUUUAGUCUUUGACUGACGCCCUCAUUCUGUAUGAUGUACAAAGGCAGAGGUAAAAUUGGCUGAAAUUACACAUUAUGAGCAACAAAAGUGUUAGAGCUCAGAGUGAAACCGUAGCACCUUAAUUUGUAAAAUUAUCUUGUUGAUAAAAAGAAAAACAUAACAGACCAAUUCUGUAAUAUUGUUAAUAGACAAAGGCUGGGUCUUGAAUCACUGCUUUGCCUCGCUCACUCAUUUGUGAUUCAGAGGAAAUGCUCGGCCUUUGAGAGGACGUGGGACUCCGUUAUGGCCUUGUAGAAGCCUCUUUGCCUUCAGUUAUUUUGUGCAAUUGUGUAUUAACACUUAAUUUUCUUUAUUCCUUCCUGGAUAUCAUUUUCUAUGCCCUUACAGAAGCUAAAAUGUAAGUACAAGUAGAUUCGUUUGACUGGGUUUUGGUGUGAAUGUACUUCAGGAUUUUAAUGAAUAUUUGAAAACAAAUUAAUGACAAAGUAAGUAAAAAUGACAAGAAAUGAGCCCAGGAGAGCAGUAAAACGAUUUUCUUGUUUCUUGAUUUCUGUCUUCACACGAGCAACUUGUGAGCUGAGAUAGAUGUGAGUCUAGCUUCAUAUCGUACCUUGAACAAAACAAAAAAUUUACAAUGUCUGAAGUAAAAUGUGCAGUCACAUUAACUCUGUCCUGACAAACACAUUCCUGUAAUGACUUUAAUGAAGCCAGAUGAGGCAAAAUGGUUGAAAUUAAUCCUCGAGACAAAGCAAAUAAAAAAAAACAAUCAACAUUCAGUGAUGAAUCCUCAGUCCAUAUGUAUUGAAGUUCUUACAUAUUACAAGUAGAAUAUACAGUAUAUGUAUACUGGUGUAGACAAUAUAAAAUGGGCUAAAAUGACUGAAGGAUACAAAGAACAGCAUAUACAAAAGCUUAUUUAAUGAUUCAAGUACCACUGACUUUAUACUUCAGUUCUCUGUAGAAUUCAAAAGCAUCUGUACAAAAUGUACAAGAAUUGUAUCCCAUGUUGCAUUGGCCAAAGGUUUCCUCUGCGCUUCAUAUCAUAUCUUACUAUGUAUCAUAUAGGGUGUAUAAUUUACAUUUUUUUAAAGACAAAAAUCACAGAUCCUACAGUACAGCACAUAACGUCUAUCAUGAAAUUUGCUGAAUUCAUUUCUGGACUCAGUGAUUUCAGUCAAGUCGCCUGAUGUUGUCUAACCUAAUUCAAAUGUGCAAAUAUUUCUUUAACAACACAUGAAAUGACAGUGGCUUUACAACUCAAGUCAUAAUACAGAAUUUCCAUGUGUAAUAUUUCCAAACAUUUUGCAGACUGUAUGUUCAGUAUUUCUGUUUUAUUACGCUUUAUUUUACAGGUCCAUAAUUUUAAAAAUAUUUUCCUAGUACGUUUCCUUAAAAGUUUUAUGUAAUUCGCUACUAAUUAUAGGGCAACACAAACAGUGUUCAAUUGGUACACUUCCAAUUAAUACAUGUCAAUUAUCUGCCUGCAUAACAGAGUCUUCAAUAAGUGCACAGCAGGUCAGCUGAACAUGCAAAAAUGUGACAUAUACAAACAUAUAUAGAGAACUAAAGUUAUAAUCCUUAAGGUUUUCAUGAAAUCAAACUAAAUUUUUGAUGCUAUUUAUGGUCGUAACUGUUUCAGUAAUAGACAUUCAAUGUAUUUACAUUCAGUAAUUAUCUCACUAUUCAUGCACUGGAUUUAAAUUGCCUACCUACACACGAAGGAUGCACAGCAAACGAUGCAUACCCAUAAUCCAGCGUUACUGUUUGUAAUUUUAAGUAUUUCUCACCAACACAAAGUGACCAUUCAUUCAGUUAUUUUCGGGGGGCUUCUGUCAGCAGAUAAGAUUUAAGUAUGUCAAGAUUGUAACUUUAAGUUUCAAAUAUUAAAUGAACAUUUACUUGGGUUUAAUGCAGCUGUUCUUACAGGGACAAUUCUAUAUUCCCUAUAAUUAAUACCAAAUUACACAGUUCCUUCAAGGAAACUUCCUAUGAAAUUGUCAGGAAAUUACGAACCUGUAAAAUACAGUUUUAUUGGUAUUUCUAGAAUCAACAGGAAUAAAAUGGGCGCAUAUACUCGUAUAUUCUACAAGUUCUCAUCUCAGCAAGAUACCGAAUGUAGGGAUGCCCCGAUCACUGUCCAAUAAAGGCAAAAUCUGAAUCUACAAAUUAAAAAUCAUCUCAACAAGACUAAAUCCAUUUUAAU